rnacentral:misc_RNA from 1 species
GAUGAAGAACUUAGCGAAAUGCGAUACUUGGUGUGAAUUGCAGAAUCCCGUGAACCAUCGAGUCUUUGAACGCAAGUUGCGCCCGAAGCCACUAGGCCGAGGGCACGCCUGCCUGGGCGUCACACGCCGUUGCCCCCCCAUCUACUCCUUCGGGAUUGCGGGGGGGCGGAUGAUGGCCUCCCGUGCGCCUAGCCGCGCGGUUGGCAUAAAUACCAAGUCCUCGGCGACGCACGCCACGACAAUCGGUGGUUGCGAAACCUCGGUUGCCCGUCGUGUGCGUUCGUCGCGCAUCGAGGGCUCGAAAAAAUGCUCGGCUCCGGCUGGGCUUUCAACGCGACCCCAGGUCAGGCGGGGUUACCCGCUGAAUUUAAGCAUAUCAAUAAGCGGAGGA